rnacentral:rRNA from 1 species
GGCCUAAACUUUCCACUGCUAUCAAUCGUGAUAAGGGAACCUCGAGUGCCUGUAUAUGCAGGCUGUCCAGGUGUCUAAAACACACCUGAAGAAAGGGCCGGGCAAGACCGGUGCCAGCCGCCGCGGUAAUACCGGCGGCUCGAGUGGUGGCCGCUUUUAUUGGGCUUAAAGCGUUCGUAGCUGGGUCGUUAAGUCUCUUGGGAAAUCCGGCAGCUCAACUGUCGGGCGUCUAAGAGAUACUGGCGAUCUUGGAACCGGGAGAGGUGAGGGGUACUUCGGGGGUAGGAGUGAAAUCCUGUAAUCCUCGAGGGACCACCUGUGGCGAAGGCGCCUCACCAGAACGGCUUCGACAGUGAGGGACGAAAGCUGGGGGAGCAAACCGGAUUAGAUACCCGGGUAGUCCCAGCCGUAAACAAUGCGCGGUUAGGUGA